GACGAACCUGACGAACGUUAUUCGGAAUCACUGGGCUUAAAGGGUGCGUAGGCUGUGCAGUAAGUUGGGUGUGAAAUCCCUCGGCUUAACCGAGGAACUGCGCCCAAAACUACUGUGCUUGAGUGAGAUAGAGGUGAGCGGAACUUAGGGUGGAGCGGUGAAAUGCGUUGAUAUCCUAAGGAACACCGGUGGCGAAAGCGGCUCACUGGGUCUCAACUGACGCUGAUGCACGAAAGCUAGGGUAGCGAACGGG
rnacentral:rRNA from 1 species